rnacentral:rRNA from 1 species
GCUAUACAUGCAGUCGAGCGAACAGAUAAGGAGCUUGCUCCUUUGACGUUAGCGGCGGACGGGUGAGUAACACGUGGAUAACCUACCUAUAAGACUGGGAUAACUUCGGGAAACCGGAGCUAAUACCGGAUAACAUAUUGAACCGCAUGGUUCAAUAGUGAAAGGCGGCUUUGCUGUCACUUAUAGAUGGAUCCGCGCCGUAUUAGCUAGUUGGUAAGGUAACGGCUUACCAAGGCAACGAUACGUAGCCGACCUGAGAGGGUGAUCGGCCACACUGGAACUGAGACACGGUCCAGACUCCUACGGGAGGCAGCAGUAGGGAAUCUUCCGCAAUGGGCGAAAGCCUGACGGAGCAACGCCGCGUGAGUGAUGAAGGUCUUCGGAUCGUAAAACUCUGUUAUCAGGGAAGAACAAAUGUGUAAGUAACUGUGCACAUCUUGACGGUACCUGAUCAGAAAGCCACGGCUAACUACGUGCCAGCAGCCGCGGUAAUACGUAGGUGGCAAGCGUUAUCCGGAAUUAUUGGGCGUAAAGCGCGCGUAGGCGGUUUUUUAAGUCUGAUGUGAAAGCCCACGGCUCAACCGUGGAGGGUCAUUGGAAACUGGAAAACUUGAGUGCAGAAGAGGAAAGUGGAAUUCCAUGUGUAGCGGUGAAAUGCGCAGAGAUAUGGAGGAACACCAGUGGCGAAGGCGACUUUCUGGUCUGUAACUGACGCUGAUGUGCGAAAGCGUGGGGAUCAAACAGGAUUAGAUACCCUGGUAGUCCACGCCGUAAACGAUGAGUGCUAAGUGUUAGGGGGUUUCCGCCCCUUAGUGCUGCAGCUAACGCAUUAAGCACUCCGCCUGGGGAGUACGACCGCAAGGUUGAAACUCAAAGGAAUUGACGGGGACCCGCACAAGCGGUGGAGCAUGUGGGUUU